GGUGCUCCACAUUGGCUGGCCCUGUCUGAAAACAGGGGAGCUCUACGGAUGCAGUUCCUACAAGCCCCACUCCAGAGCAGGGAGUAUAUAGAAUCCAAGCUACAGCUAUGAAGCAUUUAAAGAUCUGCCAGGGUGAGGGGAUAUCUCCAGUCCCUUCUGUUACAGUCUCCUGAGGAGUUUAUGCUGCGUGUUUUCUACGCUAGUCAAGCUAGGUUAGAAAAGGCCACAUGGUUUCUGCCUGGUUCCUUGGAAUUCAACCACCAUGGUUUGAGGAAGCCGAAGCAGCCCAUGGAAACGAAUCAAAACAUGGGGCCCAUAUGCCUGGCUGAGCUCCUUGACAACAGCCACUACCAAUUUUCCAGCUAUGUGAGCAAGAAAUC